rnacentral:lncRNA from 1 species
GGAAGGUAUGGUGCUUGGUGACCGGGCGUGCUGGAGUGGGGCUCAGUUGGCAGCUGCCUUCCCGUCUGCCGGCUCCUCGCCACGCAACAUUGCCCUGCUCCUGGCUCGCCAGCCUCCGCCACAUUAGGCUUCAUCUAAACUUUAAGAGCACGGGUUCCAUUGGUCUGAACUGGCCUCAAUCCCAGCCUGGACCGGAGCAACAGCCCGGCCGGGUGAAAUGGCCGCAGUCCAAGGCGCGCUUUCACUCCACCAGACAGCGGGCCAAGACGUUGGCGCAGGCUACGCUGCAGGACCCAGCCACCCCCAAGGGGAGACAUCCCACGUUCCAUGGCUCCGAUGGAGGGAGAGGGCACCAUGUAGCCGCCACUCAGCCCGGGGGUAGCCUGUGUCACCACACACAGGGACUCAGAGACUCAUCAUGGUGUCUUAGGCACCAAGCAGAACAUAGGAGAAGAGAAUGGACAAUGGCACUAUUCACAACUGAAAGACUUUAGAGACCCUGUAACAGCUUUUGCUGUAUGCUUAGCUACAGAAGGUAUCUCUCAAGAAAUGUUUUCUCACAAGAAUUUUGUGUCAGCGUGCCAUAAUAAAAAAGGCAAGAGUGGUUAAACAU